CGAUUAGGGUUCGAUUCUGGCUCAGGACGAACGCUGGCGGCGUGCCUAACACAUGCAAGUCGAGCGGAGGCAUAGGGAAGAAGUUUUCGGAUGGACUCCUUAUGCUUUAGCGGCGGACGGGUGAGUAACGCGUGAGCAACCUGCCUUUCACAGGGGGAUAAGGCGGCGAAAGCCGCUCUAAUACCGCAUGAGACCACGGUGACGAUGUCACAGGGGUCAAAGGAGCAAUCCGGUGGAAGAUGGGCUCGCGUCCGAUUAGGUAGUAGGUGGGGUAACGGCUCACCAAGGCGACGACGGGUAGCCGGCCUGAGAGGGCGACCGGCCACAUUGGGACUGAGAUACGGCCCAAACUCCUACGGGAGGCAGCAGUGGGGAAUAUUGCACAAUGGACGAAAGUCUGAUGCAGCAACGCCGCGUGCGGGAUGACGGCCUUCGGGUUGUAAACCGCUUUCAUCAGGGACGAAGCUAACGUGACGGUACCUGAAGAAGAAGCACCGGCUAACUACGUGCCAGCAGCCGCGGUGAUACGUAGGGUGCGAGCGUUGUCCGGAAUUAUUGGGCGUAAAGAGCUUGUAGGCGGUUUGUCACGUCGGGAGUGAAAACUCGGGGCUUAACUCCGAGCCUGCUUCCGAUACGGGCUGACUUGAGGAAGGUAGGGGAGAAUGGAAUUCCUGGUGAAGCGGUGGAAUGCGUAGAUAUCAGGAGGAACACCAGUGGCGAAGGCGGUUCUCUGGACCUUUCCUGACGCUGAGAAG
rnacentral:rRNA from 1 species